rnacentral:rRNA from 1 species
CACGAUGGGACGCUGGCGGCGUGCUUAUCACAUGGUAGACUGUACGCUGAAGCUCCAGCUUGCUGGGGUGGAUGAGUGGCGAACGGGUGAGUAAUACGUGAGUAACCUGCCCUUGACUCUGGGAUAAGCCUGGGAAACCGGGUCUAAUACUGGAUACGACGUCCUACCGCAUGGUGGGGCGUGGAAAGGGUUUUACUGGUUUUGGAUGGGCUCACGGCCUAUCAGCUUGUUGGUGGGGUAAUGGCCUACCAAGGCGACGACGGGUAGCCGGCCUGAGAGGGUGACCGGCCACACUGGGACUGAGACACGGCCCAGACUCCUACGGGAGGCAGCAGUGGGGAAUAUUGCACAAUGGGCGGAAGCCUGAUGCAGCGACGCCGCGUGAGGGAUGACGGCCUUCGGGUUGUAAACCUCUUUCAGCAGGGAAGAAGCCACAAGUGACGGUACCUGCAGAAGAAGCGCCGGCUAACUACGUGCCAGCAGCCGCGGUAAUACGUAUGGCGCAAGCGUUGUCCGGAAUUAUUGGGCGUAAAGAGCUCGUAGCGGUUUGUCGCGUCUGCUGUGAAAGCCCGGGGCUCAACCCCGGGUCUGCAGUGGUACGGCAGACUAGAGUGCAGUAGGGAGACUGGAAUUCCUGGUGUAGCGGUGAAAUGCGCAGAUAUCAGAGGAACACCGAUGGCG